GGGUGAAGGAACUAGGCAAAAUGGUACCGUAACUUCGGGAGAAGGUACGCUCUUGAUGGUGAAGUCCCUUGCGGAUGGAGCUGACGAGAGUCGCAGAUACCAGGUGGCUGCAACUGUUUAUUAAAAACACAGCACUGUGCAAAAUCGUAAGAUGACGUAUACGGUGUGACGCCUGCCCGGUGCCGGAAGGUUAAUUGAUGGGGUUAGACUU
rnacentral:rRNA from 1 species